rnacentral:lncRNA from 1 species
CCAGUGUGUGACAGCUGGGUGACAAGAGUGAUGACAACAGGCAGUGUUGGCUGCAAUAACUGUGCUAACUGGUGACAACCAGGCAGGUGUGACAAAGGGUGUGGUAACUGUGACAACAGGCUGUGACAACUGGGCAUUUCCUCUGCACAGAACCGGUCAGCUCACUGUGGAUUUACAGCAUUUCCAGGCUUCCACUAGGGUGGCAGGGACCCUCUCCACCCACACACCAAGGAUCCUGAGCUUUGCUCAGGGGUCAGCGAAUGUCCCUGACAUCUCCCAGUUAAGUCCACGAUCACAUCUUCAUAGAAGCAACUUAACACUCACAAGAGAGCAAAUGACACAUGCUCCCAUCCGCAUGUGUUAGUACCCUUGUCAUUCAAUUUGAAACAAGCCCAUCAUCUAUUUCUUGAAGAAAAACAAUGAGUGAGAAUAAUGCAAAUGUCUCAUUCCCACUCUAUCUCCAUUCAUAAAACUAACUCUGAGAGAAUUUUAAUUAGUAAUCUGCAGUGCCACAGGAGAGGAAAAGAAGAGGAUAGCCAUCCCAGGGCAGAGGAAGGAGGAGAUGUACCAACCUGCCAAACCCCAAGGGAGCCAGAUGAGCAGCCCUGGGAGAAGACGCCUGCAGUGGACAAGAACGCAGCCCACAGCCCAGCAACAACAGCAACCCUAAAGGCUGAGGCCUUCUACAGGUGGUGGCAACAAUGAAGGAGUCCCUGCGGAAGGUUCUACACACAUACG